rnacentral:rRNA from 1 species
GACGAACCGAGCGAACGUUGUCCGGAAUCAUUGGGCGUAAAGCGCGUGUAGGCGGUCCGGUAAGUCCGCUGUGAAAGCCAGGGGCUCAACCCUUGGAUGCCGGUGGAUACUGUCGGGCUUGAGUACGGAAGAGGCGAGUGGAAUUCCUGGUGUAGCGGUGAAAUGCGCAGAUAUCGAGAGGAACACCUGCGGCGAAGGCGGGUUGCUGGGCUGAUACUGACGCUGAGGCGCGAAAGCCAGGGGAGCGAACGGG